rnacentral:lncRNA from 1 species
GACAUAACUCUUGUAACUCUUGUCUCUUGGGUUAUGUAACUCGUAGAGUUAUAAAGUGGGGGUUAUGGUUCCCACAUUAGUGCAAGACAAGUUCUUCUUCCCCCCCAUUGAAUCAAGAACCAAACAAUCCAUUGUCUUGCAAAUAGUGUGGAAAACCAUAAGCCAAAUUUUGAUUAUUGUCAUAACACUAUUAUUGUGAACCUUUCAUAUAUUNNN